AUGUUAUAAAGAAAGCUCGAGGGAAUAGACCCGAUGAAAGCUUAGCAACCCUUUGCAAACGAAGAAGGUGCUACAUUCUAUCCCAAUAUACCGGGAAAAGAUAACAA
rnacentral:ncRNA from 1 species